CAAUGGGUGCAAGUCCUACCCGGGAACUGGUUCGUUCCACCCGGUAGCAAUCGGAGCAGCAGUGGAGGUAACAAAGCUGCUGAAGUCUGCAGCCGAUUCUGGGUUGAAGAUAUCGGUCACAUCGAUC
rnacentral:ncRNA from 1 species